rnacentral:rRNA from 1 species
GGCGAACGGGUGAGUAACACGUGAGUAACCUGCCCUUGACUCUGGGAUAACUGCUAGAAAUGGUAGCUAAUACCGGAUACGACCCUCGGCGGCAUCGCCAGGGGGUGGAAAGAAUUUCGGUCAAGGAUGGACUCGCGGCCUAUCAGCUAGUUGGUGAGGUAACGGCUCACCAAGGCGACGACGGGUAGCCGGCCUGAGAGGGUGACCGGCCACACUGGGACUGAGACACGGCCCAGACUCCUACGGGAGGCAGCAGUGGGGAAUAUUGCACAAUGGGCGCAAGCCUGAUGCAGCAACGCCGCGUGAGGGAUGACGGCCUUCGGGUUGUAAACCUCUUUUAGUAGGGAAGAAGCGAAAGUGACGGUACCUGCAGAAAAAGCACCGGCUAACUACGUGCCAGCAGCCGCGGUAAUACGUAGGGUGCAAGCGUUGUCCGGAAUUAUUGGGCGUAAAGAGCUCGUAGGCGGUUUGUCGCGUCUGCUGUGAAAUCCCGAGGCUCAACCUCGGGCCUGCAGUGGGUACGGGCAAACUAGAGUGUGGUAGGGGAGAUUGGAACUCCUGGUGUAGCGGUGGAAUGCGCAGAUAUCAGGAAGAACACCGAUGGCGAAGGCAGAUCUCUGGGCCAUUACUGACGCUGAGGAGCGAAAGCGUGGGGAGCGAACAGGAUUAGAUACCCUGGUAGUCCACGCCGU